rfam:Chthoniobacter flavus Ellin428 ctg67, whole genome shotgun sequence.
CUUACCCGGGGAGAUCUCCUGUGUGAGAGCACGGGAGAAGUCAGCAGAGGCCGUAGUAGUGAAGAGGCCCGGCGAAAGUCGGGAAGAGCGAAGGGC